UACGUAGGGGGCAAGCGUUGUCCGGAUUCAUUGGGCGUAAAGAGCGUGUAGGCGGCCAGGUAGGUCGGUUGUGAAAACUGGAGGCUCAACCUUCAGAGGUCGACCGAAACCAUCUGGCUAGAGUCCGGGAGAGGAGAGUGGAAUUCCUGGUGUAGCGGUGAAAUGCGCAGAUAUCAGGAAGAACACCCGUGGCGAAAGCGGCUCUCUGGACGGCAACUGACGCUGAGGCACGAAAGCGUGGGGAGCAAACAGG
rnacentral:rRNA from 1 species